rnacentral:lncRNA from 1 species
UUUUAGGAAUUGCUUGGAAAAAACCUAUUAUAACAAAAGAUAUCCCUAGGACUCUUUAGAGUAAAGUUCAAAGGUUUUAGGAGCUAUGUGCCAGGAACAGUGGUUGAAGACCAAAUAAAUAAUGACUAUCUAUCUCAUGGAUAACAGGUCCUAACGUACAAGAAAAAAAUUGGAGAAACCCCCACUUACAAAAUUGCUUAAUAAGACAAUGAGGAGGGAAAAAGGCAGAAAAAAGAUAUUGUUAAGAAUUUCAGAGUAGAGAUCCACUAUUUAUUUUCCCCUGAAUAUACUUGCAUGUGGUUAUAAUGUUUAUCUAUUAUAAGCCUAUUUGCAUGACCGAGGUUAUUUUAUUUUGUGUUUUAUCUUUGCAUUAAAUAUUUCCUAUUUAUCCAAUGAAGAUGACAGGCACCUGCCUUCUGCCUGGUUGUGUUCAAAGUGCCAUGUGUCUAUGUCAGUGGACCCAAAACUCCUGAUUCUGUGGUGUUUACCAACUACAUGGGUGAGGCCGGCCAUAAACAACGGUAGCAGGAUGUGGAAAUGAACUUUGCUUGUUUUCACUUUUUGCACACAAGUGCAAAAAUACAGUAAUACCACUCCUGGGUCAGGUCCGAAAAACGGAAACUACACUAGUUAGGUUUGUACAGGAAAUCUGAUAGAAGGGACUGGUUAAACCGAGGUUAGAGAGCUUUAAAUGCGAAGUGGGACAAAUAGGGUCUGACAGCAAAAGCAACUGCCAUUGCCACUGUGUGUUGGGGGAACUAGAAGAGGGAUAUGGGCUUAUCAGAACCUGGCAGCUUGGAGGAGGGCCCUGGAGCUGGGACCAGACCUUGGGAGCUCAGAGGGGGCCCGUGGAGUCAGGAUCAAGACCUCUGAGAAGGGGGCCCCCUGUCAGCUAGUGCUGAUACCGGGGUAGGCCCCUGGAGAGAUGGGGUACAGAUCUGUUGGCAGGAGUGCUGCUCAGCUGCUGUGGUAUCUCCUCAGGGUGCACAAAGGGCUAGCUUUGGGAGAGUGGGAAAAAUCUGAGCCCUAGCCGACUGCCACCAGAGACAAAUGCUGCUGUCAGGGUAAAGGGCUGUUGCCGGGUAACUCCAGCAGGAACAGGAAGCCACCAGAAGGAGCUGCUCCCCUCUCCCUCCUCUGCCUGCCAGGCUCCAUUUGAUGUGCCCAGUCUGCAGAGCCCCUUGACAAAGUAGACAUGCUGUUUGCAGAGCCCCCACUUCAGGACACAGAGCAAGGUGGAGAAGGCUGUGGAGGGACCCUCACUUAACCACGGUCCUGGUCCCAAGGGCUGCAGUUAGGCUCAUGCUAUGAAAUUCCUUGCUAGAUUACCCAAGCAGAACCGCAGAAGUGGUGGAAACCUGUUGUUUUUAAGAACUGUACUACAAUAUACAUAACAUAAAAUUUGCUAACCUUUGUAAGUGUACAGCUCAGUGGCAUUCAGUACGUUUGCAUUGUUGUGCAGCCGAUCUCUGGAAUCCUUUUAAUCCUCCUGAGUUGAAACUCUGUGCCCAUGAAACAGUAAGCCCCCACCCCCUGGCAGCCACCAUUCCACUGUCCCUCUGGACUUGACUACUCUGGGGACCUCAGAUAAGUGGGUCAGAUAAUACUUGUCCCUUUCUGCCUGGCUGUUUCACAUAGCAUGUCUACAAGGGUCCUCUGUGUUAAAGCAUGUGUCAGCAUUUCCUUCUUUUUUAAGCCUGAAUAAUAUGAAAUCUGGUUUUGUGACCCUUAGGCCAAACCAUGUUGAAGAACUGGGAUGCUGGGGUGAGGAUUUAUUUAGAGAGAAUUUUGUGGCACACUGUGGAUGUCACCUUACCCUGUUCUCCCUCCUCCAACCCCCUCCUCCUCCUCCUCCUCCUCCUCCUCCUCCUUCUUCCUCCUUCCUCCUUCUCUCUCUCUCUCUCUCUCUCUCUCUCUCACACACACACACACACACACACACACACACCAUCUUGGGAAAAGAGAGGAAGAUGUUUCUCCCAUCCUCAAGUCAAGUGGCAGAGCUUUAAGGGGGACCACACAGAAAGCUUGAUCUGUGGCCCUUGUAGUUUAGAGGGCACAGCAGUCUGGGGUCAACCCUACACCUGGAAAAUACAAAGAUUGAUAGAAACAGAGCAGGGGAUAUAGGUAUUGUUUGGGAAGUACUGGCACUCUCCCUGAGGAUGGAUCAGAGGUGUUUUCCUUGGACCAGAUGUGGGCCACACAAGAUAGAUGCUGUUGGCCUAGCUGCUAAAUAUGGCCCCAUCUAGAUGCCUGACAAGAUGGCAGAUGAAAAUGUGGGAGGCGUAGCGCUGGUGACCAGCUGCUGAGAGUCCUUGUCAGCUGCCAGCGGGACAGUGUACUCCCAGAGUCUGCGGCAAUGAGGGACUACAAGGAACCAAUGAAAGUGUUCCACAGAGGCCACCAAAUGGCCCAUGAAAUAGAGAAGCAGCCUUUAGUUCCCAGCAUGCCCAGCGAUCACUCACACCACUUCUAGUCAAAAAGGGACUUUUCUAGCUCCCUGACAUCACCUUGCUGGCUGUCUCUCCAACCACUCCAGCGCUGGAAGGUUUGAAGCAAGGUGGACCUGGGAGUAAGGGCGGAGGUCCAAAAAAAGAUACCCCUGCGCUCCACCUUCAUUCACUGGCUUCAUUCACCAUGGCAGCAGGCCCAAGCCAGAGACGAGAAAUUUCAGAUUGGCGUGCAACAUGGACUUGAUCUUACACUGGACAGGGAAUCUCAGUUGCAGAAAUAAGGGUGUUUGUGAACAAAGCAAAUUGGACAACAAGAGCAGUAGAAGUAUGAGUGCCACAGAAUUAGGUUUCCAGGGAUACCACGUCACCUACAAAUCCCACUUGUUCCCCAGGACAGAUCUGAAAAUAAAAGUUCCAAGUGUCUGGCAAAGGCUGUGGGCAGCAGAAGCGUCAUAGUCUGCAGUCAAAGCAGUGACUUGGGGUUGGUGGAAAGUGAAUGGCCCUCCGAUGUCACUGGGUUGUUGGUGAAACAAAAGCAUUUUACCACUUUGUUGCAUGAAAGAGGGACAACAGUGGCAAGGCUUUUUUGUUUUUUGUUUUUGUUUUUUUUCCUGAAAGUAGCUAAGCUGACUAUGCCAUUUACUGGGUCCAGCAUUAUGGUCUAGGUGCUUUAUGAUCAGUGUGAUGAUGGAGAAUUCAGCAAUAAGAGGGAGGCCAAAGAGUAGACACAGCAUUUUUUAAUAAUCCUGCCAUAAAAAGCAGAGAAAGUAGGGCCGAAACUGGAUAGUGAUCUGUGGUCAUGCCUGGGAGGGUUCUUUUUAGGUUAAGAGAUAUUGAAGCAUAUUUUUAUAUUAAUGGGAAAGAUUUAAUAGCAAAGGGAAAAUUGGUGGUUGGGAAGAGAGGGGAGAGAAUUGCAGGAAGGAAGCUGUUGAGCUGUCAGCAUAUAGCUGGUGGGUUUGCUUUAUGGGUAAGUAUGGACAGUUCAUCCCUUGUCUCUCUUCGAGGAGAAAGGAGUGUAUGAUAACAAAUGCAAGUCGGUCAGCAGAUGUACUUCUGAGCCCAUGGAAAUCAGAAUGUUCCACAGCCCCCCAAAUCAGUUUACUUCAUAUGGAUAUCAGAUAUUUUGUUGAACAUAUAACUGUUAAAUAUAUGUAGACCUCAGGAUAAAAUUUAGAGCUUAUCUGGGACUAUGUCAAAUUUAUUAAAAGACACAGUCUUUGGGAUGCCUGGGUGGCUCAGCGGUUGAAUAUCUGCCUUUGGCUCAGGUCGUGAUCCCAGAGUUCUGGGAUUGGGUCCCGCAUCGGGCUCCCUGCAUGGAACCUGCUUCUCCCUCUGCCUAUGUCUCUCCUCUCUCUGUGUGUCUCUCAUAAAUUAAUUAAAUAAUUAAUUUAAAAAUCUUAAAAAAAAUAAAAGAUACAAUCUUUUCUGCACCAAAAGACACAAUCAAGGGUGAAAAGGCAACUUAUAGAAUGGAAGAUAAUAUUUGAAAUCAUGUAUCUGAUAAGAGGUUUAUAUCCAAAACACAUAAAGAGCUCCUACAACUC